UACGGGGGGAGCAAGCGUUGUUCGGAUUUACUGGGCGUAAAGGGCGUGUAGGCGGUUAGUUAAGUCUGGCGUGAAAGCUCUCGGCUAAACCGGGAGAGGUCGUUGGAUACUGGCAAACUAGAGGACGGUAGAGGCGUGUGGAAUUCCGGGUGUAGUGGUGAAAUGCGUAGAGAUCCGGAGGAACACCAGUGGCGAAGGCGACACGCUGGGCCGUACCUGACGCUAAAGCGCGACAGCAUGGGGAGCAAACGGG
rnacentral:rRNA from 1 species